CACCAGCCCUUUAAGACGUUUAUAAACAUUACGCAAUGCACUGAGGGCGGCCUGCAGCCAACAGCCCAGCAGCACAAAAGGGAGCGAGCGCUGAGCUCCUGAAGCCACCAGAUACCUCCAAGCAGCAACGGUCGCCGAGCUCCUCUGUGCGGCAGGCAGGGGAAACUCCCGUCACACAGAUAAGAGCCGUAGUGUCCCCGCAUCUCUGUCCUUCCUUCCGUUGUAGCACUCGGCGCGGACGUGCAAACGUGCGCCACGAACGAAUCGGAGAAGGGAGGGAGGGAGGGAUUGAUUUCUGGCAGCUUGCUCCCUUCCCUCAAUCUCUUUUAAUUAGUCAGGGCAAGAGAAAGGCUGUUCCAGAGCGGGAGAGAGAAAAACAAAAAAGGAAAGUCGGAGGAAAUCAAGGCAAGAGGUGUGGCGAGGUAGAGGGUCUGUUUACCUGCUGGAGGGCUCGUCUCUACGGGCACUGCCGCGCCAGAGCACUGGGUGAGAUCACGCUGGCGGUACCUGCCGCCACGCCCUUGCGGAGCUCUGGCGUCAGGAGGCUCUCUGCCAGAACUCUCCGUUUCCCUAGUUUACUCCAUCUUGGGGAGCGCGUGGUCGGCGAGAGCGUGGCACCAGAAUCCAAAACCCGCAGCCUCCGUUGGUGCCCAGCCCUCUGAGCCUCAGGUGAGCUGAAAUAAGCUUUGGCAUCGGAUCUUUUUCCCACGGUCAGCGCUGGGACUUUCUUUUUGUGUUUUUUUCUAGAUCUUUGUCAUUUGUUUGUUUGUUUUCUCUCCGCUCUUCUUGUGUUACGUGAAAUCUGAGUGGCCGGGAGGGGGGCGCGGCGUGGCGUGGGCGCGGCGUGGCGUGCUGAGCCACAUGGGCUGAACCCCCGCGCAAACCCCGGAGACACCUCUUGCAGCUCAGCUCGAUCCUCCUGCCCUGAUGAGGGGGGCUUCUCUCCCCCCCGCCAGAUUGACGCCAACGGCAGUGCAGUAGACGUUGCUGUGUGCAGGAGUUUUGAGUUUUCAGGACACUAAUCAUAUAGUUCCAUCCCGUGGGAGUCAGUCGUUGGGCCAGAGGUUCUCUGAUUAAUUCCACUGUUGGAGUCCGCGGUGAUCCUCUUUUGAAAACCCUUUAACGUCUAAAGGUGGGUGAUGUGGCUUUCGGAAUAUGACAGUGUUCACCAUGCGCAGUAUGCCUCAACAGCUUACUGUUUGUUGUUUACACACUUUUCAUACUUGCCUUUUUUUAAAUGUUGUUUGUUUGGUCAGUGAUCUCUAGAGGCAUUGGCGAUUAUAAGAAAAGCUUAGUGUAACGGAAUUUAUUAUGAUAACAAUACAUAUAGCCCAGCCAUUUCCACAAUCGCGGUGCUCUGUCGAGGACAGAGGUAUUUAUUAUACAGGUAUUUAUUCCGUCCAUUCAGAGCAACACCUGAUUUUUCUACUUCCCUGAUAGCGUACUGAGUGAAGCGCAAGUUCACUGAGUCAUGUGAUGCUUUGCACCUCUGGCAUGCAAUUCCUGCACACACCAUGGCCCCUCCUACAGGAACUGGAUGACCCAAAAGGCCAGAAAAAGAAGCGUUGAUCCGCACUGACCACUAGAAAUCUAUUCCAGACAAAGGCAGAUUUUUGUAGACACAGAAUCACAGAUACAAAAAUAAAUAAAUGCCCAAAUAAAUAAAAGAUUUCCUGCUAAAUCUUUAUUUCCUAGAAAUAUUUCACAAAAACAUCCAUUUGACUCUGAAAUAUUUAAUACUGCACUGCUUUGUGUAAACCCGUCCACGUGCCAGCAAGCAAAGUAGGGGCUUGGCAAGCCUCCGUACAGUAUUCAGCAUCUCAGGAAUGACUCAUUCUCCAAACUUACAUUAAGACAUUUUUCUUUAUCCAAUUAACUUUCAGCGUUUGCGAGAGAGCAUUAUCCAAAGCGCAAGGUGGGGCAGAGGAGCGCGGUUUAAGCGCCCCGUCUCAGCUCCUGCUGAGUGUCUGCUGGAGAUCCUCUAGUGCUGCUCGCCUUACAACCUGCACAGUCCUCGGAGAAAGAGUGUAGGGUUCCUGUGCUAAAUGGGUGGUGUGGGGUUUUGGGUGGUUGUUGUUGUUUUGGGUUUUUGUCUCCUCCCCCCAUGUCUUGCACAGGCCGCUCGGAGAGGACACGGGUUUUGGGUUUCGGCUUCGGCUUAAGAGGAAGUUGUUGGAUGCAGCAAAAGUAGCAGGAGUCGGGACCGAAGAGGCAAAUGAGAUAGCAGCAGCCUCAGCACCGGCAGCAUGCAGACUUCCACAGUGGGGUGCACGUCUACGAAUAUCUAGCUUGGAGAACCAACUUGGAAGACUUGCGCAUUAUCAGCUGAGACGUGCAUCACUCAGGACUGGAGACGAAGCCGUCCGCUUUGUUGAUCGAGGUGAAGGAAUAGAACAGGAAAAAUGUCUGACACGUGCCAGCUUACAACACCCUCCUGAUAUUCACAGAUUACACUUGAGGUAAGACAUCCAGAUAUUCACAAGUUCCAACACGCAGAGAAGAUGGAGGUUACCGUGGGAACAGAACAGUCCGGCCGCCUGUCGCACCUAAUAUACAAACACAUGAAAUAAAGACCCAAAAUAUCAGAAUGACAAAGGGCUGUCUGCACAUAUAGCAACUGAAUGUGCGAUGGUGGCGAACAUCACCGUCAAUGCAGUGUGGUGCAGGCCACUGUACAUUUAAAUCAACGGCCCGAGCCGGACCGACGUGAUGCCGAGAGAUCUUUACGCGGAGUGGUGCCUGAUGGAGAGCUGAUGAGAUGACUGCACGCCGGAAUGCAUCCUGCCGUUGCUGCACCCAUAACCGGCACUAAGGUCUGUAAGGAAAGGACAGUCUGAUUUGCACUGGGAUUAUUGUGUUCUCAUUUUUCAGUCAUGCUGUAAACUGCAGAACUCCAGAGCACAGAAUAAAACGAGCAGAUGAGUGAGAGUGUGAGAGCUCUUUUCACGACAGACAACUUGCCCCCGAAACUGCCUGCUACAGUGGAAUUUUAGCCUACAUCAAACCAGAACUUUCUGCAUGUAUGAUGAGUAAAGACACGUGAACAAACAAGAAAAAGAAACUGAUCCUUAGUGCAUAGCACCAGUAACAACUGCACUGCAAAAAUCUUAUUACAGAUGAACAUUACAUAUUUUUAUGCAGCCAAUAAAAAGAACAAUAAACAAAAACUGAUUUUUUUUUUCUUCUUCACAGUGCAUGACUUUACACUUAUAAUUAAUCCUAAUCAAGUCUGGCACCAGUAUGGCAAGUGUGAUCAGGUAACUACUAAUAGUUAGCGUCUGGCUUCUAUCUUACAAUAUUUGAUGCUACAUGUGAAUUACAAUUACUGCUGUGAAAAUAAAACCUUGAGACUU